rnacentral:rRNA from 1 species
AUUGAACGCUGGCGGCAUGCUUUACACAUGCAAGUCGAACGGUAACAGGCCGCAAGGUGCUGACGAGUGGCGAACGGGUGAGUAAUGCAUCGGAACGUGCCCAGUCGUGGGGGAUAACGCAGCGAAAGCUGCGCUAAUACCGCAUACGAUCUAUGGAUGAAAGCGGGGGACCGUAGGGCCUCGCGCGAUUGGAGCGGCCGAUGUCAGAUUAGGUAGUUGGUGGGGUAAAGGCUCACCAAGCCAACGAUCUGUAGCUGGUCUGGGAGGACGACCGGCCACACGGGUACUGAGGCACGUCCCGGACUCCUACGGGAGGCAGCAGUGGGGAAUUUGGGACGAUGGGCGCAAGCCUGGUCCAGCAAUGCCGCGUGCAGGAAGAAGGCCUUCGGGUUGUAAACUGCUUUUGUCCGGAACGAAACGGUCCUGGUUAAUACCUGGGGCUAAUGACGGUACCGUAAGAAUAAGCACCGGCUAACUACGUGCCAGCCGCCGCAGUAACAC